rnacentral:rRNA from 1 species
GAUGAACGCUGGCGGCGUGCCUAAUACAUGCAAGUCGAGCGAACAGACGAGGAGCUUGCUCCUCUGACGUUAGCGGCGGACGGGUGAGUAACACGUGGAUAACCUACCUAUAAGACUGGGAUAACUUCGGGAAACCGGAGCUAAUACCGGAUAAUAUAUUGAACCGCAUGGUUCAAUAGUGAAAGACGGUUUUGCUGUCACUUAUAGAUGGAUCCGCGCCGCAUUAGCUAGUUGGUAAGGUAACGGCUUACCAAGGCGACGAUGCGUAGCCGACCUGAGAGGGUGAUCGGCCACACUGGAACUGAGACACGGUCCAGAAUCCUACGGGAGGCAGCAGGAGGGAAUCUUCCGCAAUGGGCGAAAGCCUGACGGAGCAACGCCGCGUGAGUGAUGAAGGUCUUCGGAUCGUAAAACUCUGUUAUUAGGGAAGAACAAAUGUGUAAGUAACUAUGCACGUCUUGACGGUACCUAAUCAGAAAGCCACGGCUAACUACGU